UACGUAGGUGGCGAGCGUUGUCCGGAAUCAUUGGGCGUAAAGAGCGUGUAGGCGGCCAGAUAAGUCCGCUGUGAAAUCUCGAGGCUCAACUUCGAGCUGUCGGUGGAAACUGUCUGGCUAGAGUCCGGAAGAGGAGAAUGGAAUUCCUGGUGUAGCGGUGAAAUGCGCAGAUAUCAGGAAGAACACCCGUGGCGAAGGCGGUUCUCUGGGACGGUACUGACGCUGAGACGCGAAAGCCAGGGGAGCGAACGGG
rnacentral:rRNA from 1 species